AAUUCUAGAGCAGUGCUGUCCAACAGAACUUUGACAAUGGACACGUUCUAUAUCUGUGCUGUCCAACAUGGUAACUAGUAACCACUGGCUACUGACUACUUGAAAUGUGAAUAGCUUGACUGAGGAACUCAAUUUUAAAUUUUAUAUUUUAAUUUAAACAGCCACAAGUAUCUAGUGACUACACUGUGAAAUAGGACAGCUCAAGAGGAAAAAUAAGCCAAGACAUUCCUUUGGCAAACCGUGGGAAAACCUUUUUCUUUAAGUAAGAGAUACUCCAAAAUCUCCAAAACCUUCUUGGCCAACUCAAUAUCUAGAUAUGACUAACUUGGGAAGAUUAGUACAGCGUUGGCAGACAAAAUCCUCGGUAGGCAUGUUCUCCAGAGUUUUAUCAGUAAGAAUCAGCAAUGUUAAGAACCUUUUAUUCAGAAGGUCUAUAUAGACACAUGCAGACAACAGAAAUGGUUGGGUUUGUGUCAAAAAGAAGGAAUCUCACAGAUAUUCAAGUUUGCAAGGCCUUUGGGUUCCCACAAAAAUUCUCCCUCAAAUUAACUGGAAGUCUUCAACUAAGGAUACUUUUACUUCUACAAAAUGACUCCAGGGGAAAUCCUCCAGAAAUCACCAAAGCCUUCAGCUACAGAAAAUCAAAUGGAACCAAGACACUAACAAGAACUUCAAAGGAGACAAACAGUAAGAGAGACACACUGUUCCUCUGGGCAUCUGCAAUGGUGUAUUCCUCAAAUACAGACCAGAGCAUUUGCAGUAGAGUAAUAUGGGAAGCAUGA
rnacentral:lncRNA from 1 species